AUGAACGCUGGCGGCGUGCUUAACACAUGCAAGUCGAACGGAAAGGCUCCUGCUUGCAGGGGUACUCGAGUGGCGAACGGGUGAGUAACACGUGGGUGAUCUGCCCUGCACUUCGGGAUAAGCCUGGGAAACUGGGUCUAAUACCGGAUAGGACCACAUUUUGGAUGGUGUGGUGGAAAGUUUUUCGGUGUGGGAUGAGCUCGCGGCCUAUCAGCUUGUUGGUGGGGUAAUGGCCUACCAAGGCGUCGACGGGUAGCCGGCCUGAGAGGGUGUACGGCCCCAUUGUGACUGUGAUACGGCCCAGACUCCUACGGGGGGCAGCAGUGGGGAAUAUUGCACAAUGUGCGCAAGCCUGAUGCAGCGACGCCGCGUGGGGGAUGACGGCCUUCGGGUUGUAAACUCCUUUCGCUAGGGACGAAGCGUUUUUGUGACGGUACCUGGAGAAGAAGCACCGGCUAACUACGUG
rnacentral:rRNA from 1 species